AACCCAAAUUCAUCAACCUGGCCUGCAGAUUCAUUUCAUGUCUGUGAGAACUUGGAUGUUGAUGUCAUUGGUAAGGCUGAUAACUUCUCUGGUUCUUGAACCUGCCUCCUCCAUCUCCACCAUACUCUUUUACAGUCGUCUUCUUCCUCAGAACCUCGCUCUUCUCCGAAUGGUUCGGCAUGAGAUGCUUGAUCAGGAAAAUUACCUCUUCAACUUCAUCAUCACCUUCAUGACUUGUUUUUGUUAAUUCUUGUUUUCUAAUUAUUUGACAUCCAGUGCUGCAUAUUAUUUAUAUAUACUGUAGUAGAUCUUCUAGUUUCUUUUUUUCCUGGCGAAUUUUAUGUUUGUUAAUUUCUUUCAUAGGAGACUCGCAGUUUCCUGUUUUUGUAAUCACUACUUGUUCCUCCAAAUUCAAUUAUGUUUGGGCUGAGUAAUGGGCGGCACAGUCUAAUUUGAGGGAUUUAAUUUUCGGUUCUGGAUCAAUGACAACACAACUCCAAUCCAACUAGAUUUUA